rnacentral:tRNA from 1 species
UAGCUCAGUGGUAGAGCACAGGAUUCAUACCCCUGCGGUCGGUAGUUCAAUUCUACU